rnacentral:tRNA from 1 species
UCCCCAGUGGCGCAACUGGUUAGCGCGCGGUACUUAUAAUGCCGAGGUUGUGAGUUCGAUCCUCAUCUGGGGAA